GACGAACGCUGGCGGCGUGCUUAACACAUGCAAGUCGAGCGGAAAGGCCCUUCGGGGUACUCGAGCGGCGAACGGGUGAGUAACACGUGAGUGACCUGCCCCGGGCUUUGGGAUAACCCUCGGAAACGGGGGCUAAUACCGGAUAGGACUCCCGGCUGCAUGACGGGGGGUGGAAAGAUUUUUCGGUCUGGGAUGGGCUCGCGGCCUAUCAGCUUGUUGGUGGGGUGAUGGCCUACCAAGGCGACGACGGGUAGCCGGCCUGAGAGGGCGACCGGCCACACUGGGACUGAGACACGGCCCAGACUCCUACGGGAGGCAGCAGUGGGGAAUAUUGCACAAUGGGCGGAAGCCUGAUGCAGCGACGCCGCGUGAGGGAUGACGGCCUUCGGGUUGUAAACCUCUUUCGGUAGGGACGAAGCGUGAGUGACGGUACCUACAGAAGAAGCGCCGGCCAACUACGUGCCAGCAGCCGCCGUAAAAC
rnacentral:rRNA from 1 species